rnacentral:rRNA from 1 species
GCGGUAAUUCAAGCUCCAUUAGCGUAUAUGUAAAUUGUUGCGGUUGAAAAGCUCGUAGUUGGACUUCUGGCGACCGCGUUCGGUCCGCCAAGCGCGAGCACUGUCCGCGGUCGUCGUUUCUGUCGACGUGGCGCGUCGGACUUCAUUGGCCGGCGCGUCGUCUGUCGGCGAUGUUACUUUGAGGAAAUCAGAGUGCUCAAGGCAAGCGUUCGCUCGUGACUUCACUAGCAUGGAAUAACACAGAUGGGCUCUUUCUCGCACUGUUGGUCUGCGUCAAUUGAGCAACGAUCGAUAGAGACGGUCGGGGGCAUUCGUAUUGCGCAGUUAGAGGUGAAAUUCUCCGAUCUGCGCAAGACGCACUAAUGCGAAAGCAGUUGCCAAGGACGUCCUCUUAUGAUCAAGAGCGAAAGUCGGGGGAUCAAAGAUGAUUAGAUACCGUCGUAGUCCCGACCAUAAAUGAUGCCGACUGAGCUUCGGCGACUCGACCACAGGUCGUACGUCGGCGCUCUUAGAGAAAUUAAAGUCUUUGGGCUCCGGGGGUAGUAUGGUCGCAAGUCUGAAACUUGAAGGAAUUGACGGAAGGGCACCACAAGGCGUGGAUGUUGCGGCUUAAUUUGACUCAACACGGGAAAGCUUACUAGGUUUGGACACCUUUGUGAUGGACAGAUUGAAGCUCUUACCCUACUGCGUGGAUGGUGGUGCAUGGUCGUUCUCAGCCCGUGGGUUGACCUGUCAGGUUUACUCCGGUAACGCGCGAGACCUCGGUCUGCUAAAUAGACGUGGCUGUUUCGGCACCCGCGCUCUUCUUAGAGAGAGACUCGACGAGAGUCGAGGGAAGUCGAGGCAAUAACAGAUCUGUGAUGCCCUUAGUUAUCCUAGGUCGCACGCGCCAUACAAUGUGGCGCACAACGAGUCUCCUUGGCCGACAGGAUCUGGGCAAUCUGGCAGAGCGCUACGUGACUGGGCUAGACUUUUGUAAUUUUUGGUCUUGAACGAGGAAUGCCUAGUAAUCGCAGGUCAGCAUCCUGCGAUGAUUCGGUCCCUGCCCUUUGUACACACCGCCCGUCGCUCCAUCCGUGGCAUGCGCCGGUGAAGAGGGGGAGGCAGCGUCGGCCGGGUAACACCGGAUCGUACGUGGAACCCCUCUGAACCUUCGCACGUAGAGGAAGGAGAAGUCGUAACAAGGUUUUCGUAGGUGAACCUGCGAAAGGAUCAUUAUCGGCACA